UUUUGCUUGAGGAUCCUGGCUGCACUUCAGGCCCCAGAGCCGAGUCUUCUGUGAUCCCAGUAAGGAAGAAGAAUGGAGAAACUCCUGGAAGUGUCUUUGAUGAUUCUAUGGCUUCAACUGGCCAGGGUGAACAGCCAACAGGAACAGGAUCAUCAGACCCUAAGUAUCCAGGAGGGUGAAAACGCCACCAUGAACUGCAGUUAUAAAACUAGUAUAAACUACUUACAGUGGUAUAAACAAGACUCAGGUAGAGGCCUUGUCCUACUGAUUUUAAUACGUUUAAAUGAAAGAGAGAAAAACAGUGGAAGACUACGAGUCACGCUGAACAGCUCCCUCAAAAGCAGUUCAUUGUCCAUCACGGCUUCCCAGACAGCAGACACUGCCACAUACUUCUGUGCAACGGACGCACAGUGUUCACCAAGCACCUGCAGCCUCUCCACAAACUCCCCCAGAGCUGCCUCUUAGCAGCCCUAUAGUGUAGCAUUAGU